GAUGAAGCCACGACAAUCUACUCUUUCAAGACUCGAAAAAAUUUACGGAAGUAUUUGAAUAUUUGAACAUAAGCCUCCCGUAUGAAGAAGAAUUACCAUAACAUGAAAAUUCCUAAAUUUUAUUUCUUGUCAUAAACAAACAAAGGGAAGAAAGUGGGUAGACCCCACAAACUGUACUGCUUGAAACUGCUUGCUUGGUCUUCCAUGUGACUGAAACCCUUGCUUAGUUUUAUUCAUCUUAUUUAUACACUGCUUUGCUUCUCCUUCCCUUUUUUCUCAGAACACACACACUCACCACCCAAAAGCCAAAAGCCAAAAGCCAAAUAGAGAAGAGAAACCAUGAAGCAGAUGAAGAAUAACCAAAACUUUAUCAUAUUUUCUCUCUUUGUUUUUCUUCUUCUCUCCAACUCAUCAUCUGCACGUGCUCGUCUUCUGCAACAAAACAAAGCUUCACUAACUGGAGCCGAUGAUCUUGUAAAUUUGAUGGGAGCAGAAGAAUGUGAUGAAAAUGAUGAAGAGUGUCUGCAGAGAAGGAUGAUUGCUGAAGCUCACUUGGAUUAUAUUUACACCCAAAACCAUAAGCCAUAGACUUUAGAUUUUCGCAUAAAAGUUGUGUAAGAAAUAAGAUGGAUUUUCGCAUAAAAGUUGUGUAUAAGAAAUAAUUGUUUAUUUUUUUUGUGUAAGAAAAUAUGGGCUGGAUGUACUUUUAAAAUGACUGAAAGUGUUUUUAGAGAAAAUUAUUUUAGGUUCCAAAAGCACUUCACUUGAAGUGCUUUCUGCAAAAAACAUCAGUUAUCUGCUUCUUCCAGGAAGCACUUUAAGUGUUUUUUCAUGAUUCACGUGCAUUUUUACCAAAUAUUGGUUCUAAAAAUAUUUUCACCAAAAGCACUUUCAGUCAUUGUAAAAGCACAUCCAAACAAGCUUUAUAGUAUCAAUGUUGCCAUUUACUAUUUCUUCCUUCAUUAUUGUAAUAAUUUUUGCGUCAAUAAGUGAUUUCUGUGCUCUAUUUUUUUCA